CCUACGGGUGGCUGCAGUGGGGAAUAUUGGACAAUGGGGGCAACCCUGAUCCAGCAAUGCCGCGUGUGUGAAGAAGGCCUUCGGGUUGUACAUUUAGAACCCGUUAUUGGCGGUACCUGGGGAAUAAGCACCGGCUAACUUCGUGCCAGCAGCCGCGGUAAUACGUAGGGUGCAAGCGUUACUCGGAAUUACUGGGCGUAAAGCGUGCGUAGGUGGCGUGUUAAGUCGAAUGUGAAAGCCCCGGGCUCAACCUGGGAAUGGCAUCCGAUACUGGCAGGCUAGAGUUCGAUAGAGGGUAGUGGAAUUCCAGGUGUAGCGGUGAAAUGCGUAGAGAUCUGGAGGAACAUCAGUGGCGAAGGCGGCUACCUGGAUAGACUGACACUGAGGCACGAAAGCGUGGGGAGCAAACAGGAUUAGAUACCCUUGUAGUC
rnacentral:rRNA from 1 species